rnacentral:ncRNA from 1 species
CGUCACCGUUCCGCGUACGGGGUCCGUCCGAGUCGCCCAGCGCCGGAUGCAAGGGCCCGCGACGGCACGAUGCGUCCGUAGUGGAGCCUGCGCAGAUG